rnacentral:rRNA from 1 species
GACGAACGCUGGCGGCGUGCUUAACACAUGCAAGUCGAACGGAAAGGCCCUGCUUUUGUGGGGUGCUCGAGUGGCGAACGGGUGAGUAACACGUGAGUAACCUGCCCUUGACUUUGGGAUAACUUCAGGAAACUGGGGCUAAUACCGGAUAGGAGCUCCUGCUGCAUGGUGGGGGUUGGAAAGUUUCGGCGGUUGGGGAUGGACUCGCGGCUUAUCAGCUUGUUGGUGGGGUAGUGGCUUACCAAGGCUUUGACGGGUAGCCGGCCUGAGAGGGUGACCGGGCACAAUGGGAAUGAGGUAACGGCCAGGAUCCCAACGGGGGGAAGCGGGGGGAAUUAUGGAACAAGGGGCGGAAGCCUGAGGAGGAAAGGCGGGGGCGGGAAUGACGGCCUUCGGGUUGAAAACCGCUUUCGCCGGUGACAAGGCGGGGGGGACGGAAAUGGGAAAGGAGGCACCGGCAAAUUACGG